GACGUAGGGGGCCAGCGUUGUUCGGAAUUACUGGGUGUAAAGGGUUCGUAGGCGGUGCGGCAAGUUGGGAGUGAAAUCUCUGGGCUUAACCCAGAGGCUGCUUCCAAAACUGCUGUGCUUGAGUGUGGGAGAGGCGCGUGGAAUUGCAGGUGUAGCGAUGAAAUGCGUAGAUAUCUGCAGGAACACCCGUGGCGAAAGCGGCGCGCUGGACCACUACUGACGCUGAGGAACGAAAGCUAGGGGAGCAAACAGG
rnacentral:rRNA from 1 species